UACGGAGGGUGCGAACGUUAAUCGGAAUCACUGGGCGUAAAGCGCGCGUAGGCGGUCUGUUAAGUGGGAUGUGAAAUCCCCGGGCUUAACCUGGGAAUUGCAUUUCAAACUGGCCGACUAGAGUACGGUAGAGGGAGGUAGAAUUUCCUGUGUAGCGGUGAAAUGCGUAGAUAUAGGAAGGAAUACCAGUGGCGAAGGCGGCCUCCUGGAUCGAUACUGACGCUGAGGCGCGAAAGCGUGGGGAGCAAACGGG
rnacentral:rRNA from 1 species